UGGGGAAUAUUGCACAAUGGGCGCAAGCCUGAUGCAGCCAUGCUGCGUGUAUGAAGAAGGCCUUCGGGGUGUAAAGUACUUUCAGCGGGGAGGAAGGGAGUAAAGUUAAUACCUUUGCUCAUUGACGUUACCCGCAGAAGAAGCACCGGCUAACUCCGUGCCAGCAGCCGCGGUAAUACGGAGGGUGCAAGCGUUAAUCGGAAUUACUGGGCGUAAAGCGCACGCAGGCGGUUUGUUAAGUCAGAUGUGAAAUCCCCGGGCUCAACCUGGGAACUGCAUCUGAUACUGGCAAGCUUGAGUCUCGUAGAGGGGGGUAGAAUUCCAGGUGUAGCGGUGAGAUGCGUAGAGAUCUGGAGGAAUACCGGUGGCGAAGGCGGCCCCCUGGAAGAAGACUGACGCUCAGGUGCGAAAGCGUGGGGAGCAAACAGG
rnacentral:rRNA from 1 species